rnacentral:lncRNA from 1 species
GGAUACAUAUCUAUGUUUUUUAUUAGCUAAUACAGGAUCCGCGCUACACUACGAAUAGAUCGAUAGUAUUUCAGCCAAUUAAAAUAUAUAAUUAUUAAUUUUAAGAUUAAAAAAUUAUAAUAAAAAUUUAUACAGUAUUUUUAUGUACAUUAUAGAAAUAAUCUUUUUUAUUAAUAUUUUUUUAACUUUCAGUAUUUGAAGAGUUAAAUUAUUCUAAUAACUUCUUUUAAAACUUCAAUCAAACCUAAUACUUUUAAUAUCUAUUCUAUAAAUAAACUUUUUAACUAAAAUGUUAAAGUU